AUGCACAUGCUUAUAGUGUAGCAUUAAUGCACCGGAUCCCAUUAGAACUCUGCAGUUAAGUGCACUUGAGCUAGAGUAGUACUGGGAUAGGUGACCACCCAGGAAGUCCUAGUAUUUUACAUC
rnacentral:rRNA from 1 species